UACAGAGGGUGCGAGCGUUGUUCGGAAUUACUGGGCGUAAAGGGCGCGUAGGCGGCCUGCUAAGUCGAACGUGAAAUCCCCGGGCUCAACCCGGGAACUGCGUCCGAUACUGGAAGGCUUGAAUCCGGGAGAGGGAUGUGGAAUUCCAGGUGUAGCGGUGAAAUGCGUAGAUAUCUGGAGGAACACCGGUGGCGAAGGCGACAUCCUGGACCGGUAUUGACGCUGAGGCGCGAAAGCCAGGGGAGCAAACGGG
rnacentral:rRNA from 1 species